GGUCUGUGAUGACAAAGUGAAAGGCUUGUUUCUCAAAACAUUCAUAGUGGCCACCUGAGAGCUUUCGCCUUUACCAAGCUUGAGAGCUUCUGUUACUCUAUUUCCUUCCUUGGAUGUCUGAGAAA